AUUUCCUGGACAUGACACACUACUAAAAUUAGGUUGUAAGCUCAGCGAAUGCAGAAUUAUUCUACGUGAAUCAGGAGCAAAGCACAGGUUGCAGAAGUUGCAGCCCAAUUUCCCAAGCGACGAUGUGGCGUUUGCACUCAAGGACAACCGUUCGUUAAGUUUCGCCUUUCCAUUGAAUUAACAGGACAGGACAGGACCGGAGAAGCAACAAUACUCCAGCUUAUCGCAUGCUUGUAUUAGGCUUGAGACGGAAUCUGAUGGUCAUAAUUUUACAGCCUGGAAGUAGAAAUGCUCUAUUUCCUUUCACCUUAAGACCCGUGGGUUCAGAGAUUAGGCAGCAGUUGUUGAGACUCGAGAGCGCUUGAAAGCUUGACGAGCAAGCGAAAAGCUCCCUUGCUCAUAUAGACAAGAAACAAGCAGAGG